rnacentral:rRNA from 1 species
ACCCGCACAAGCGGUGGAUCAUGUUGUUUAAUUCGAUGAUACGCGAAGAACCUUACCAGGUCUUGACAUCCCCUGACAACCGAGAGAUCGGGCGUUCCCCUUCGGGGGACAGGGUGACAGGUGGUGCAUGGUUGUCGUCAGCUCGUGUCGUGAGAUGUGGGUUAAGUCCCGCAACGAGCGCAACCCUUGUCUUUAAUUGCCAUCAUUUAGUUGGGCACUUUAAAGAGACUGCCGGUGUUAAGCCGGAGGAAGUGGGGAUGACGUCAAGUCCUCAUGGCCUUUAUGCCCAGGGCUACACACGUGCUACAAUGGGCGGUACAAAGAGAAGCAACCUCGCGAGGGUGAGCAAAUCUCAAAAAGCCGUUCUCAGUUCGGAUUGAAGUCUGCAACUCGACUUCAUGAAGUCGGAAUCGCUAGUAAUCGCGGAUCAGCAUGCCGCGGUGAAUACGUUCCCGGGCCUU